GGCCUAAGCAGAAAAGUAUGCUCAGGUAGAAGAAGCUUUUGAGGAAGAAGAAACCCCAGUAGAUACUACUAUCCAGAAGAAGAAAGAAGAAGAAACCAGAGAACCCUCACCAAGGCGGGACCAUGGAAGAAGUUAGUAAUCCUCCCAGUCUCCAUGCAGAUGUCGAAGGUCUAGAACCCCUCCUCAAAAUCAUUGAACAAGAAGCCCCUUUGGGAGGAGGCGGCAUACAUCUC
rnacentral:lncRNA from 1 species